UUAANUUCGGGGUGGCAGGCGAUACGGGCAUAACUAGAGUGCUGUAGGGGAGACUGGAAUUCCUGGUGUAGCGGUGGAAUGCGCAGAUAUCAGGAGGAACACCGAUGGCGAAGGCAGGUCUCUGGGCAGUAACUGACGCUGAGGAGCGAAAGCAUGGGGAGCGAACAGGAUUAGAUACCCUGGUAGUCCAUGCUGUAAACGGUGGGCGUUAGGUGUGGGGACCGGUUUGGUUUCUGUGCCGUAGCUAACGCAUUAAGCGCCCCGCCUGGGGAGUACGGCCGCAAGGCUAAAACUCAAAGGAAUUGACGGGGGCCCGCACAAGCGGCGGAGCAUGUGGAUUAAUUCGAUGCAACGCGAAGAACCUUACCUGGGUUUGACAUGCACCAGACGGUUGUAGAGAUACGUACCUCCCUUUGUGGUUGGUGUGCAGGUGGUGCAUGGUUGUCGUCAGCUCGUGUCGUGAGAUGUUGGGUUAAGUCCCGCAACGAGCGCAACCCUUGUCUUAUGUUGCCAGCACUUUGGGUGGGGACUCAUGAGAGACUGCCGGGGUUAACUCGGAGGAAGGUGGGGAUGACGUCAAAUCAUCAUGCCCUUUAUGCCCAGGGCUUCACACAUGCUACAAUGGUUAGUACAACGCGCUGCGAGCCUGUGAGGGUGAGCGAAUCGCUGAAAGCUAAUCUCAGUUCGGAUUGGGGUCCGCAACUCGACCCCAUGAAGUCGGAGUCGCUAGUAAUCGCAGAUCAGCAGUGCUGCGGUGAAUACGUUCCCGGGCCUUGUACACACCG
rnacentral:rRNA from 1 species